rnacentral:tRNA from 1 species
AGGGGUUUAGGUUAGACUAGACCAAGAGCCUUCAAAGCUCUAAGCAAGUACCAUAUACUUAACCCCUG